GUUAUAGAAAUCCUGCGAUACCGCUUCAAAAUAUUUAGCUGAAGGACUGAAUGGGUAGGCUACUUUAUUGAUAAGUAGAUAGGGAAAUAUUCACGGUUACCGCUUCAAAGAAGGACUGUACGGGUGAAUAUGUAGAAAAAAGGAAGAAUGCUGGCCUGAUUGUGCGACGUUCAACUGCAAAAAGAAAUCCUAUAAUCUAGAUUUAUGUUGAGGAAGUGAAUUAAGUCAAUAAAGAAAUUAUAGGUCGUUUUUAGGUAAAAACGAAGGGUAUUCGUGAAAAAUCCUAUAGGAUAAUACCAGCUUAUGUAGAGGGAGAGAAUUAAGUUAGGUAAGAAACUAUAGGUCGUUUUUAGGUAAAAACGAAGGGUGUAUGUGAAACGAAUGUGAAUAAAGAAAUUGAAUGAAUGAAAAUAAACGAAUGAAUGACAAUUCUUUGUGAUGAAUGAGCAGAUUAGAAAGAAGAGGAAGAACAGGCUGUGUGUCUGUGACCAACUGGGAAUGCGCAGGCCUCUCUAACAGUUAACAGUGUAAUUUGAGAAAGAGAGCGCAUUUAACUCUCACUGGGAAGAGGAACGAAAUCGAUAAAUAUUGGGCAAGAUAAGUUAUACAUAAGGAUAAAACAUUGACUGGAUAAUGAGUUAAAAGACCAUUGUAAAAGUUACAAUAGGUGUCAAAAAGAGGUAUUAAACAAGGCAUGGAUAGUAUAUAACGGAUGCGAAGUAGGAAGAAAUAACUUAAAAAUAUACAGAUAAACUAAAAUAUACUGGUUAAAAUAAAUCUAGGCGGUCUAGAAUAAAGUGAGAAAACUGCAUGAAAAUAGAAGUCUAGAACACAUAUUUUAAAAAAAUAUCACGAGCCCCGUAAACGAAAUAGGAGGCUGCAAUUUAAAAAUAGCCUCAGGAAUUAAACAGUAAAAUAGGCUAAGAGAGAAUAUAGCAAGCGGAUAAAUAAAGAGAUAAGAAAGUGCAGACAUUAUAAAUAAGCUGAAUUAGAAGGAAAAUUAUAUGAAAUAGGAUUUAAUACACUGAAUAAAGUUAAAGUAAUAGUAUAAGCAAAGAUAAAAACACAGUGAUAUUUGAGGUGCUGUACUAGAAUAAGACAUUAAGGCUUCUGUAGAAUUCAGUAAUACAGUUGUAGACAUUAUAGAAUAGGUUUUAAUAGGAGGUAUUAAGUGAUGUGACUAAUAAAUUAUUAUUUGAGAAAGUAGGGUAGAUCUACCUUGGAAAAUAGUAAAUAAAGUGUAUAAUGCGAUGGGAGUGUUUAGGGAAAAUAAAUAGUGGCAUGGAAACAAACGGACUGUUUCUCCCUGGAAUAUAGAGAUAGCGAAAUUUAAUAAAGCCAUAGAGACGCUGAAAGACGCGCACGUUAAUUCUACCAAUUCAAUUUGAAUAUGAAGGAGCAACCCGUAUAAUGUAGGGCAACAUUACCCGGUAAACAGGAUAAAUAAAAUAAUGAAUUGGAACAAUCACAUAAAACCAUAACAAAAAGCUUAACUUACCAGCGUUUUAAUGUUAAUUAACAUUCUAUCAUCAGAAAUACAUUACAAUGGGGGAAGCGUAAGAAGUUGUAGAUCAGGGCUAACUAGUGUGGGGGAAAAUGAGUGUAAGAACUUAGUGCGGUAGCAGAGAAUGCUGCUAUACAGGAAUUUACACCCUUAUCAAAAGAGCAACAGCUAAUCGUUCUAAGGUUAGUACGAAUGGAAUUUUCACCAAGCGGUGUAUAGUCUCUGAUUGAUCAAUAAGUGGUUCAUAGAGAGUACAUCAUAUGUGAUGAAAUACGUACUAGAUCACGUUUUACCUAACUUCUAGUAAGGUACCGAUGUAAUUUACAAAAUAGCCCCACUUGUGAGUUGUUUUGCAUUGAAACGGCGGUUUCAGUGUUGAUAAAAUGUGUGGAGAAGUUGUUAUUAGCGUCAAAAUACGGAAAAUAAACGUAUAUGAAAAAUUUAGAAGAAAAGCAAAUUGUAGUGUAUGGGUGUUUUCAAUUUCUAAGGGUAGGAUACAGAUGGCCGAGCAGGGAGGAAUUGUGCGUUCUGUGCAUGGCUGGAGCUUCUGUCGCAUGCUCAGGAAAAGUGAGGGGAUUUUAGUAUGUGUGGUACUGUUGGCUUGCUGAUUUAGAGGGUGGCAUGGUGAAUGUUAACGAAAUGUACAUUUAUUUUCCAGGAAAAAAAAAGGGUUACAUUUUCUCUGGUCAAAAUGUCAUUGGAGACUUUGGUACUGAGGAAAGCAGUUAGAGAUAUUCGGUCACUUUAAAAGUCUUAGUAUCUGGUUAAGGCUAUAACUGGAGUUCCGGAUAAGUGAGGCCAGCUUAUGUGUGUUCUUGGCCUAUAUGAGAUAGUGGAUUUCCUUUGGAAGGGUUUUUUCAGUUCAGUUUCAAAUUGGGUAUGCAGAAGGAUGGAAAUGUUUUUGAAAAUGUAUUUAAGCUGUUCUAAAGAAAAGAGAGUGAAAACAUUAUAAUGGUGUCAAAUGCCCUGAACCCUAAGAAUUUCCCGUGAAGACUGAUCAACUUCACUAGAAAUGGUUGGAACAGGUGGGAUUUAAUUGUAAAAUGAUUGAGAAACACCAGUCUCUAUUCAAAAUGUACCAUCACUUUGAAAUUCCAUUAUUUCCUUGGGAAAAAGAUGAAGAGUUGUAAUCUUGAAUUGACUAGUUAUUCAAAUAGGUUUAUUUUUAUUUAACAUGGGGUUAUAGGAGAAAAUAUCAGUUCCCUGGGGUUAUGGUCUUUGGGUAAAUACAAAAUGUGCUUUGUUCAUUCUACAUAUAAAAUGGAAAUAUAUGUAAACAAGGGAUAACAGUUACUCCAAAUAGGUUAUUGGAGUGGGAGAGAGAGUAAUAGGAUACGGCAUGUGUCAAAAUUGAUUGAUUGCUGACCUUAUGACCUGAUGACAUGUACUGAAUAUGUGCCCCCGCCCCGCCCCCCCCCUGUUCGUGUGGUCAUGUGUUAGAGGGUGUUUGAACUUUUGGGGCCCAUGCCCCCCCCCCAGUUUUAUCUCCCUUAUGGUUGUUAUCUAUGAAGCAGGAAUGUCUGGGGGUAUAGAUAGCGCUGGGGCCUCAGCAUUAUAAAUGUCCAGAACAAGCCAUUUUUUAAGACCUGAAUAUUAAGCAUCUAAAAAUAUGUCUACAAGGGGAAUUCUCGGAGUGCUCUGUAGCUCAUGUCACGAACCCAACGCCAAAAGCUUGGAGGAUAUUUUGGUAGAGGCUCCCGAAUGUUUUAACGGAUUUCUGUGUACAAGCAAGGGCCAUAUUUCGUACAUAUUCAACCCGGAGGAAUCUACGGUUAAGAUAUUCACAGACAGCGUGUCCCAACCCUUUUAUCGUGCAGAACCCGAGCCUUUUUCUCUAGCGCUAAGGAUGCGAGAAUGGCUUAAAAUAAGGCUAGCUUUGUGUCAAAUGGAACGUGCCAUGAGUGCUUCAAGGCUGCCAGGAUAUGCGUUGGAAGAACAAGUCUGUGGACGUCAGGAUCUAAUGGCCCUGAGAGUCACAUCCAUGGGGUAUACCCCGGACUCCAGAGUGACAAUUUUAGCAUGUGAACAAUUUGUCAGGUCAAAUGCUACGAAAACGGUCAUUCCAUAUGUAUCCUCCAAAGCAUGCAAGGAUGUAAAUUUUUUUCAAAUAAUGUUCAGUUUUAAAUGGCGCGAUUACCACAUUUUCCGAACCCUGAUGAAUAAGCUGGACAGUCUUUUCGAAAAUCGUGAACAAUUACGGCGAUGGCCUAGGUUAUCGUUGAGACAUACCCCGGAACAACAACAAGUUCGAAGGCGGAUCUUUCCCUGGCAGGAAAGUGGACAGAGCUUCGACGGAGCGCGGAAAAGACUUUGUGAUGGGGAAUUGGAAACGGAUAAUGUUCAGGGCUAACAGGACCCCAUAUAUCUCUUUUACGCGAUUUACCUGAUCUGGAACAUGAUGGGGGUUCGCAGGAGCAAAAGUCUGGCAGACAAUCACCAACGGCCUUUUUUCGUUCCGACAUACAGCCCUUUAUGAUAAAGGAUGCGUUAUGGACAGCUGACACGCAGGACUUUGAUGCAAUUCUACCGUUCUGUACGAGCGCUUUUUCAAACUCACCGCGAAUCCAGGGAACAUCGACCCUCUCCCGACAUAUUCCAGACCCCAACAGGCAACGAUCAACUGUGGCCCAAGUACACUGCUCAGAAUCAAGCCCACCCGAAAACUACUGUUGGGCCGGGAACUUGCUGCUUCACGAGCCGGCGCUCCAGGGACAA